rnacentral:lncRNA from 10 species
CCUGCUAAGCUGUUCCAGCCUUGAGGACUAAACUAUUGCUACUAAAAGCAAAGACUCUCAUUAUGGGUUUUAAGAUUUCUCUCACCUUAUCCCACCCUUCACCCUGUACUCCCCGUCACUGCCGUUUUUCCUUGGCACAGAGUAAGUGCUCAAUCAAUAACAUUGAGAAGGUCACUCCUCCCACCCCAGAGAUCUAGAAGCAAAGUUGGGGCACAACAGGUGGGAACUAGCAGGAAACUGCAGUGCACUCCUACCUAAGCAGUUCACAGACAAUUUGGAGAACCUUCAGACAGUGACACCCAUCUCAUAAGUACUUCCUCAAAGGCCAGGGGGACUGCUGCCUUAAUAACAUGAGCAUGUUCUGAGCCUACCCUAUUUCUCUUUCACCCCAAGAAAGUAAAGCCAAGACUGGGUCUUCUGACUUUCCAACACGAGAAAUUGGCCUGGAAAGAGGCAAGGGUUUUUAUUCCAGAGUCCCUCCUCAGGACUUCCUGAGAUCCUGACUUCAGAGGCUAUACAAAACCAUUCUCCAAAGUGGGAUGAAGGGCUUGAGGUCAAGGUAGCAGCAAAAGAUGCUGAAGAUCUUCCUCCAAUAGGUUAGGGUCUCUCACUCUCUCUCCCUCACUCUAAAUGGGGCUCUCCUUCAGCUGGAAUCUUUCCCAGCCUGUUCGCCCAAGUGAGUUUUCUGGUGGCGGAUGAGAUUCGAGCUCCGGGAGAAGUGUUUCCCACACACAGUGCACCGGUAGGGCUUCUCCCCUCUGUGGGUCCGCUGGUGUGCUCCAAAGUUGGAGAUAUCGCUGAAGGUCCGCCCACACUCAGUGCACUCAUAAGGUCUCUCACCUGUGUGGGUGCGGUGAUGCACGCCAAAGCUGGAGCUGUUGCUGAAGCUCUUCCCACACUCACAGCAGAUGUAGGGUGCUGGCUCCAGGUGGGUCCGGUGAUGCACAGCUAGCGUGGCACUCUGGCUGAAGCUCUUGCCACAGAUGUCACAGCGGUAUGGCCGCUUGCCUAGGUGAUCUUGCUGGUGCGUGGUGAGGUCUGAGCGCCGCCGAAAGCUCUCCUGGCACUUGGGGCAUUUGUAGUGUUUCUCUUCCAGGUGGAUCCGCUCGUGCCGGAUGCGGUUGGAGCUUCUCGAGAAGCUCUUGCCACAUUCAGAACACUUGUAAGGCUUCUCACCAGUGUGGAUCCGCUGGUGUGUUCUCAGGUUGGAGGUAUUAUUGAAGGUUUUGCCACACUGGGCACAUAUAAAGGGCUUCUCAUCUGCCUCAUGCCUUGGAUGAGCAAUGGGGUCCCCUAGCUCUCGAGCCCGGACAGUGACUUUCUGCCAUGGCUUUUUUGGAUGAGUUUCUUGCAGUUCAUCCGACAGGCUCUCUUGCCCAUGCUCCUUCUCCCCAGGUGGGAUCCAAGAACCCUCUGAGUCAUCCACUCUCCAAGGCUUACCCCCUUCCCCUUCCUCAGGCAGGUGUGGUUCUGGACUCUGCUCCUUCUCACUGCCCAUCUCUGAACCC